GGACGCGCGUUCCCGGCCGGGCCCCCCGGGCCCCGCAGCCCCGGGAGCAGCCGCCGCCUCCGGCCGGGCCCGGGGCGAGCCUGGCGGGGCUGGGGCCUCCCCGGGCCGGGCCGGGGAAGGGGCCGGGAGGGCCGGGCCGGGAGCGGCUCCUGCUCCCGCAGGGGGGACGUUCCAGCCGCUCCUGCUGGUCCCGGCGCGGGGGGGUUCGCAGCGCCCGGAGCGCGGGGGGGCCGGGCUGCGCUGCCUCCCCCUCGGCUGCCGCCGCGGUCGUGCCCGGGCCGGGCCGGGUUCUCAUCCCGGUGCCGCUGCUGGUUCCACGCAGCGGGGAGCCCCGAGAUGCGGGCUCGGGCAUCGAGCCGUGGGGACCCUCGUGCUGCCCGUUGUGGUUCGGAAAGCGGCGAUGGUCGUGACCGCCCCGUCCGGGAACCGCCGCUGCCCGAGGUGUUGGGAUUCUCACUGGGGAGACCACUCAGCAGGAGGACAGAGUCCUGGGACACCCGUUCCCUGCUCAGAGGGCCACUCUGCUGAGAUCUUCACCUAUGGAGAAACACAACCAAGUUCAUCAGGAUCUUUUUCUGACUUCAGUUUUAUUCCAACAGCUGCACUGAACAAACAGUCAAAACACAAAAGGGGGCAUUUACAAAGCAGCUGUAUCCAACAAACACUUAACACUUCCUACACUUCUUUGGGGGGCUGACACCUGUGCCAGCUCCUCAGCUGGAGGAGGCAGCGCCCGUUUUUCCUGUCUCAGGGGGAAGGAGAAAGGAUGUUUCAGGGCCUUUUCCAUCAGGUCAAUCAGGUUCUCAUGCUCAGCAUCACGGCUGGUCAGGAAUGCCUUUGUGAAGAGCAGAACAGAAGAUGUUUUUGGAAUGGUGUGGCUGCAUGUAAAGGUCUCUCCCCAACAGCCUCUUCCCUCUUCCUCUGACCUUCAGGGCCUCACAGCUCCAGAGACGUGUCUCCCAGCAGAGCUGUGUUCGUCCCAAUCCAGCCAGCCCUGCUGGAAACACCUGCGUUUCAGAAACCAAACAGACCAGGGUGUGUUACUCAAAGGUGCUGUUUGGUCCCUGCACUAGGGGUAGUUUAUCAGGAUGUUGGUCCACACCUCGGGAACUGAGCUGGGAAGGUUCCACAAGAGUGGGCAGCUUGUGAAAUAGAGCAAGGGGGUGAAUGUGAAUGGAUGAAACUUUUGUUUUUAAUUUUCCGUUACACCAAAUCUGAAAGGAUUUCCAUUAAACUCUACCAGUCCAUGUACAGAGAGAUGGAAUUACCAGCUGGUCUUGAUCAUGUGUCUUGGCAAAGGCCCCAGGAUUCGCUCCAUCAUGGCCAGGUGUUCUUUGUCUCCACAGGCCUGCAGGGGAACCAAGAGGGACCUUGUUCAUUGCCAGAGGAAGUUACCAAGAGCCACACAUUGACCUUACUUCAGGUUUGACUGUGCCCUGCAACCAGGGAUCCAUUUCAGAUUAAGCAAAAAGGAGAGGCUGCAGUCAUCUCUUUCCUGGAAUAAGAUACAAUCUACUGGAGGUUUUUUCCCUUGACCAGGCCUUCUAUAUUUUUUUUUUUGUUCCUGGUUCAUAAAUGUCAAGUUUCAGCAGUGCUGUCAAGUUGACAGAAUUUGGGUAGUUGAGCAGUAUUUGCUGCUGCUGACAGAUGAAGCUCCAUCUGUUACUAGUGUGGCUUGUAAAUUACAAAUGUGAACGGGCUCACCCUUCGUGCCAGGCUGGCUGGUUCCCAGUUGCCUACCGGAAAGCCUGGGGACCCAAGGCAGUACUCCAGGAGAACACAUCCUGUUCUCCAGACAUCACAGGGCUGUCACCAUCCCAGGGCUGUGAAAAGACCCAGAAGGGUCACGUUUAUACCAGGCUGCAAACAGGUCAACAGUUCAAGCAAGAUGUGCCAGGCUUCUGCAGCACCCUUCAGUAGCCACCAGGAAUCUUGGGCCAAAGCUGUGCCCAACAGAGUCCUACUGACCUAGGAUCACCUCAGGAGCUCUGUAGGGUCUUGUGGUCACCACCAUGCUGUGAUGUUCGUGAUCACGUGUGGUGCUCCCAGAGUCCCCAACCUUGACAUCUGGACGUUUGGGUCUGUGCUCCUCACGCUCCUGCAAUGAAGCAAUGGGAUGCAGUGCCCAAAGAAAGCCAGAGGGUGGCUGAGGGGAGGUGGGGAAGAGGGCAGCAACUUCUCAGGCUGUGGCUGUGCUCCACUGCAUAGUCAGAUGGCACCAGUAAAAUGUUGUCUGGCUUCAGGUCUGUGUGUGUCAACUUGUUGACGUGCAAAACUGCAAGAUACCAACACUAGUUAGCAAAUGCCAGAGAGAUGACACAAACCAAGCAGCAAAGAAAGAUACAGUUCACAGCCUUGCAGGUCUGAUAGGCCAUCUGUCUGAUGCGGCCCAGCCUGAAGGCCAGGAAGCCAUUCUCUUUGAUAGAGGUGCUGAGCCCCAGCAGCUCCACAGCAGAGCAGACGUGGCCACGGCGCUCGAACCAGCCGAGCAUCUGGACACGGUGGCUGCAGGAGCAGGGAACACAGGAGCUGCAGCAGGCAGUUGUGUCGCUCCACACGUUGUGUGUUCCCAAAACCACCUCACAGGAACCUUAAAGCCAGAGCCCAGGACGGUGGCUUCAUGUCCUCACUCUGUGCUGCUGGGGUGCAGGGCAUGUGAAUAGUGCAGGGCUUGUACUUCUGCAAGGGCUGCCCCGCAGCUCCCAUCAGCCUCUUUCACUAUUUUCACAGCCACGUGGCUGCCUCUCCUGGAAAGACAGGUUUUUCACUGGGCUUAGCACAAGGAGGAGUUUUACCUAAGAAUCUGGAGGAGUUAUCACCCCCUACAUUGCUGGUGCCAAUGGGAUCCUUAUCAGAAAAGGUCUCCACGUGAAGAUGAACCCGAUGAGAUCAGGAAGCGCUUCCCGAGCCGCACGGUGAGAGCAUCAGCCGGAGCAACGGCCUGUGGCUGCUGAGGAAGACUUGCUCCUUGUGCUCGGUGCAUUCCACAACUUGUCCAAAAGUCCCCUCACCCAAAGUAGCACAACCUCAUCUAGAAAGAAAAGAACUGAGUCACACAAGCUGUGGAGUUCCUCAGAGAAGCCAACACACAAGAAUGGAACAAACAAACGGAACGACUGGAUUCGUCUCGACGGGGCCUCGUUACAUGGAAACUCUCCAGCUGGAGAGAUGUGAUGGGACAACUCUCAUCAGGGCACAUUUAAGGGAUCUCACUCCAGUUGGUUCAUUAACUUCAUUUACUGGUUUUUGGGGGGAACGGAGGAAAAGAAAGAAGAAAUGUAGAGAAAAAGAAUAACAAUCCCCACCCCCAAAGACAGAAAGUCCAGACAGAAUGAAAAGGCUUGCAAAGGCCACCCCCAUCUUAUGCUAGAAGAACUUAUUCUAUCUGAAAAGUUACUAAUAAAAUGCUGUGCAUCCUGCACAGAGGACGUCUCCAGUCUGACAGAUGGGGUGACCCCAGGGGUCUUCCUCCACGCUGCUGGAUCUGCUCCUUGGAGGACUCGUUGGGAUCAUCUAGGCCAUCCACAAACCCGAGUGCAUUCAGGUCAGAGCAGGAAUUCAGUCGGCAGGGAGAGGCUCAGGCAUCCAGGUCCAGACCAGGCCACAAAGUGUUGGCAGGAGCCACCGUCAAGUUCAGUCCCUGGAAAUUCACAGGGCACAGUGUUUGUUACAGCAGGAAACUUGGCACGAGGCAGAUUUUCAGGUGAGAUCCUCAAGGUGGCAAGGCAACACAAGAUGACAACACACUUGCUUUUCUUUGACAAGAUUGGGUCACUGAAUUCUACUUUGGGAUCUUGGUUGUCAUGGUCAUUGUCAUCACAGAAAUUGUGAAGGCAAGAAAGUGCUGCCUGCAUGUCAAGUGCUCCAGAUAAUGGUGAUUAUUCAUUGACCUGCUCCCAUGGAGCCAAUGAACAAGGAGCCAGUCCAUGUUCUGUGGCAGCACAAGCCCACCUACAAACAACACUUUUUCAUGGAAGGAAAUCAAAUCCUAAAUGGAAAUGGAUCACACCAGCUGUGAGUGAUGAUGGUGACAGGUCUUGUCUUUCCUUUUGGAGCUACUCACCCCCUGCUGAGCCAACAAGUUGCUGCUGUGAGGCCCAGCAGCCCAUCCUGGAUGGUUCUUGGAUUCUGAAGAGGAGCUGCAGGCCAAGGAUCACAUCCAUUUCAUUAAAAUAGUUCUGGUUCCCCUAUCAAGACAGCUUUUUGGUUUAAGCUGCAAGACAUCUCUCAUGAAAGAUCUCCUACUCAAAACCAGCUGCAUUAUUAGAUGAUGAGAAGAAGAAAUUCUCAGUGUUUGAGGCACCGUCCCUGGAGGGAUUUAACAGACGUGUCCAUGUGGUACCUGGGGCGGUUUAGUGGGGGCUUGGCAGGUGCUGGGUUAAUGGUUGCACUUGAUGAUCUUACAGGUCUUUUCCAGCCAAAACGAGUCUGUGAUUCCAUGAUGCUAUGGACUUGCUGCUAUCAGAAGUCAGGAAGGCUUCACCUGUCGGGAAGUUGAGAACAGCCAGGUCUGCAGUGCUCGUUCUCCUGUGCGCUGCCUGGCGAUGUCCUCCUUCUCUUCUGGGCACCCUGGCACCUGCUGGGAUGGGGGGUUUCUUCUGAGCCCGUUGGAAAGAACGGAUUGGCCUGGAAUGCUGCAUCUGUACCAAAGAGAUUCUACUCUUUGAAUUACAUCCCAUAGACGCCCAGUUCCCUCAGAGCCAUGAAUUAACAAAUUAAUGCUCUAAUGGAGAUUGUCUUUCCUCCCCUACCCCAUUUUCAUGUUUUCUCUCUCUUUCCUCCAUGAUAUUUUUUAACUCGAGCUUUUUUCAAAGUCACCAUUUUUGGUGGGGAGAUGAAGCCAAUAACCUGCUUGUGCCCAAAGCCUUGGAGCAGAGUCCUGUGGCUCAGCCCGCAGGCACGUGCUGUGUGUGUUCUUUCUGCAGAGCUGCUGGGGCACCCAGUGCUGCACGUGCUGGGAAAGGACACGCAGGGAUUGCCCGGUGGGCUGGUAACGACCUUGAGGACCUUGUCAUCAGCUGUGACCAUGCUGCUUUCUGCCCCUUCCCAGGGAAUUCCACAUGUCCAGCCACUGUGUCAAUAAACCUGGGUCAUCUCCUCGUUACUGCACUCAGAGGGAGCACAAAGCCACUUGCCACACAUGUCCUUCACAUCCCUUCCUAAUGGCCAAGAACUGCCAAGAACUUUGGAAGACGAGGAAUGUGACACUGAACAAAGCAAACAAAUAAAUUCUAACCCUGCUUUGAGAAUGACUGCCAGGAGAUUGCUUUUGUUGGUGAGACUCAGAGUUGCUCAGUCAUCAUGUAAAACAAACCACCUAAAUGCAGCUGUGGAGAACAGCCUGUCUUCUCCCCCCACAUAAGAUAACAAGACUAAAGAACACUUCAAGGAAGUGCACAGAUCAGUCUUCUAUCCCCACAGAAUGCGAAAACAAGCCCCAGCCCUCCAGCAAAACUCACCCUUGCUCCCUCUGCUGCUCCCUGCUGCUGCACAGGGACAGUUGAAGUCACGGCCACCACUCUCACCUCCCUCUCCUCGUGCCUUCCUGCAGCCCUUCAGCCACCACCUCUCUCCAAAGGAGCUUCCAGCAACUCAGGUGUCUGUUGGUCAUCGGCUCAGGAGAACAAACCCAGCCUCACGCCUGAAACGUGGCUCUCCAAGUGACACACACUGCACAAGUGUGACCGUGUGGCAGUGGAAGGGCUCAGGGGCGUCACAUCAUGUUCACAGCCCCAUCGAGUGGUUGGGGUUGGAAUAAUGGAAUCAUGGAAGGGACCACUAGGGUCCAGGGGACCAUCUAGUCCAAGCCCGAGUCAUCCAUAAGGAGGAGAACAUGGGCAAAGCACUGAGCUGGACAGGCUGUCCAUAGUGGAGCUGCACUUGCUUGGGAAGGGCCAGGAGGAGGUUGGUCAACUUGAGGUUUGCUACGUGCCCCAGAGGUCGGACUAUGACUUGAUAAGAAUUAACCAAGACACUGAAGUUCAAGCAGCUUUCUAAGAGCUCCCUUGGAAAGGGGGAUGGCAGCACCACAUCCAGGAAUGGGCCUCUGGGAGCUGCCAACAUCUUGGAGUCCAGGGUGUCAGAAAGAAAGAAGCUGGAUGAGCAAGUCACCUUCAGCAUGCUGAAGCUCAGAGUCUGAGCUGAGAUUUGAGCAGGAUGAGCUGAUGGAGGAGUGGGAGGAGGCAACACCGUCAGGGAGAGGAACAGCUGUUUGGUGGCAGAGGAGAAGAGCUGUUGCUCUGCCCGCAGCCCUGGGACCUGCCCGGCCUGUCCCGGGGUGCCGGCAGUGCGGGCUGUUCCCGAGGGCGCGGGGGCAGUGCCAGGCCGAGGACUUUGCUGCGGGUUCCGAGCGCUUGGCAGAUGGUUGGAGAGGCAGCAGAAGCAGAAGCCCUCUUGCUCUCUGGCCAGUUCCUGGAUGUGCUGUAGGCUUUGGUGGACUGGCUCUGCAGGGUGGGACCCCAGUUAGCUGAAGAUCAGCGUUUCACUGGUGGCCUGGAUCUGGUCCUGAACCUGCUGGAAGCUCACAAGGAGACUCACCCCUGGGAUGGCCAAAGCCUCCAAAAUCCCACCCAUGUCCAAGAAAACAGCCCCUGCCCCCCCAAGAGCUGCAGACCCUCCAAGACACUCGGGUACCCACACCCGCCUGGCUGAAAGAAAACUCCACCCCAGUCCAGUUUUUAACCCUGCUGUGCACGCUGGAUGGAUGUUUAUCCCAACGGGAGAAACUGUUGUUCAAAGUGAAAAAGAAAGCUUGUUACGAAGCUGCUUUAGCUCUUUGGGUUUCUGUAGGUUCUUACUUUCAUGUGAAUAUUGAUGUAGGUCAAAGUUGCCUCUUGGCGACCUCUGUUCAGAGAGUGGCCUGGAAAACUGAGGUGGGAGAAAGAAAGAACAAGAAAGGGAGAAAUAAAAAGGCAGCCAAAAAAGGUCAAGAUACAAAAGUGUAAUGAAAAACUAAAACAGAAACAGGAUUUCUCUGGGGUGCAGGGUGCAAACCUGCUUUAUCUUUUAGGCUUGUUUCCUCAUUGCUUCUUUUGAAACUUAACUUGCUGUCUCAGCAAGGUAAAUUCUAUUUAUAAACACCCUGGAGUGUUGAAGGAACUCUCUUUUUGUAAACCUCAGCUACCUCAGGCAGAGAAACAUGAGGUGAGGGGACUUAGGGGUUGUCUCCCAUUUUUGAACAGCUGCCUGGUUGUUCCUGAAGGAAUCAGAGUUUGAUGGAAUAAAACUUGCAGACACUGCA